AUGAAAGCUUGCCUAGCGGCUUUUGCGCAAUAUUAUAUCUUUGGACGUUUGCACUUCCGCGGCUCUAGACAUGAGCUUCCUUAUAUGCGCAGGCCUCCAGAAGCUCCAGUGCAUAGCGGACGGCUAAAGCGUGCGGAGAAUGUCAAGACAGGGCGGGGUCGACCGAUUUUGACAUGGGAGGAGUCCGUUAAGAGAGACCUGAAGGAUUGGAGUAUCGACAAAGAGCUAGCUAUGGACAGGGGUGCGUGGAAGCUUGCUAUCCAUGUGCCAGAGCCAUCAGUUGGUUGCGAGAUCUUAUGGGUUUCACCUCUAGCCUACCCCAACUUGUUUGGGACUAAAGGCUUUGUUGUUGUUGUUGUUGUUGUUGUUGUUCUCUUUAUGUUGUAUCACCAAUGA
rnacentral:rRNA from 1 species